ensembl:lncRNA
CUUCUGAAGCAGGUAAAAAUAAAUAGGAGUCCCCCCACACACACAUUCACUCUUUGGGGUCCUCAAUCGUCUGUGAGGGUGUGAGGGUCCGAGAUGCACAGCGUGGCAACCCCUGUCCCUUGUGUGACCCUGACAUGUGAACGUGAGCUCUUGGGGCUGGAGCAGCAGGUGGGCAGCCCCAGGAGGAGCUGGGCGGUGGGCCCAUCGCUCCAGGGGAGACACUGGCUGGUCACGUGGGGGUGACUCUGCCUAGAUGCUUUCUGCUUUAUUCACUGACUCUGGGAACAACUCUGAGGCCAUGUGACUUCCUCACCCCUGUAUUCACCUUCCUGACCCCACAGUCACCCAAUUCCACCUCCCAAGCCUUUCUCAGACCAGCAUCUUCACCUCAACCCUCAUAGCCUGCACCACAGUCCACAUUCUCGUAAUUUCUCAGGCUGACAGCGGAAGAAUCUUCCUGGCCCCCAGGUCCAUCUUGCAUCCAUCCUCCACCCUGCACGCCGGUGCAGCUCCACCACCCACUCACCCAGCGCUGCUCCAACCUCAGAUGGGCUGUCUAUCUGUCCUGCAGCCUCAGAUGGGCUGUCUAUCUGUCCUGCAGCCUUGAGUUCAAGCCUGACAUCCUCAGCAGCACAUAUGAAGCCACUCUCCCCCAUGACCUCUGCCGCGCAGUGGCAGCCUGCAUAUCCAUGCCUGACCUCCACCAGAUCCUGGACAGACACCUGAAAACCAUCAAGAGAAGGAGGGAAUAAACGGAACAAGGCGAUCUCGACGUAACCAGACUUUCCUCCCCUUUUAAUCCAGAUAUCAGGGCUUUUCCCAGCCUUGGAGAGGGGUCUGCUCUCUUUAGCACAAAUGAAAUACCAUCAUCAGCCCCAGGAGGCCUGCAAAGCAGUCUCCUGGUUUAUCCAGGCCACAGGAAUCAAGCCCCAGAUCUAUUUACAGGGGUGGCUGGGGUGCUGGAGCACACGUGCGGGCGUCUGAAAGCAGGUGAGCUGGGUGCACGUGUCCCUGGAUGAGGGGAAUAGUUUCCACAGUCGGUGGCUCUGGCGGGAAGGCAGGAGUGUGGGCAGAUGCCAGCUGCAGGUCCCGGCUGGCCAGGCGUCCCCACCUCGUGCAUACAGUACGUGAUGCCAUGUCUGGAGCUCUUGCUUGGGGGAGCUGGAAAGCUCCUUUGGGGACGAAGAGUGACCAGCAGUUACUGCAGAUGCACGUGGCGCGGCACUGACAUGACCUCUCUCGUGUUUUUAUCCCCUAUAAGGGAGGGUGCUGGCACAGAGAGCCUGAAGCAGCUUUCCCAGAGUCACACAGCAGGCCUGUGGCAGAACUGGGAUUUCCAGCUCCAGGGUCCUGGCUCCUAAACCACACUGCUCUUCAGUAAGCAAUUUUGAAUUUCCUUUUACU